UAUUAGAUUGGUGCAAAAGUAAUUGCAGUUUCUGUCAUGUAAAAGUAACGACAAAAACUGCAAUUACUUUUACACCAACCUAAU
rnacentral:miRNA from 1 species